UCACAUUUCAAAGGCAGUGCACGUGCCUUACACCAUCGAUUACAAAGGCGACAGGGUAAUCCGACUUUUGCAUUGUACAUGAAAUUAAGUAUUCCAGAUCUUGAUUUCUUGAUUUUUUUUUUCUAAUAUCACAAACAUUGUUUUGACAUUUUGAAACCACGUAGCUGUGUUCAUGGCUUGAUGUGCUGACAGCCAGUGGGUGUGGAAAGGGGUGGACCAGUGAGUGCCUUGUGGAUCAUUAAUCCCCUCAUACUGGCUCCACCCAUGGGCUCAUGGUGUCUUUGACACAACACUUUCUAGUGCUUUGCAAUCACGGGCACAUACACACCCACGCAAAAGCACACACACCCUUCCCUAUACCAUCGACGCACACUCAGGACUCAGACCACAAACACAUGCGCAAAGCAGGUUGAUCAACAGCCUGAGGCAGCUCGGUGUCUAAUUAGGACGCGCCAUAAAUGGAAAUGGGAGACGUCAUCUACCUGGUUCUUAAAAUAACAAUUUGGAUCUAAGCAGACAUGCUUUUUUCGCGAACAUCCAAGGCUAAUUUAUUUUCUGUAUGAUCAUUUUAAGUAAAAUGAAUAGAGAACUAAAGAUUAUAAACUAUACUGUUGAUGUUGCAUGUAUGUUAACCCUUUCAGGGACCAUGGUUACUACACUGGACAGCUUAUCAUGUUAUCAGGUUACAGUGUACAUGAAAGGGUUCAUGUUAAGUACCCUGGUCUCUUUAAUUGACUCUCUAAUCUCAUGCAAUUUUUUCAGUAGGCAGGGAAGGAAGCAACAUGAGCAAGCUGCUCCAAACUACGGGUGGAAACUGCAGUCCCAGUUGACAAUGGAACCACACAAACACAAUGCUUUUAUUUUUCACAGCUCAAGUUUGACUUAUGAGGGCACAGUUACGGACGGACAAUAAAGAAACAAACACGUGCAGCAGCACCCAAUAAUGGUAGAAGAAGCCCCCGGUGACCCUAUCAAGUCAACUGUUCCACUGAAGCACCCUCUGAGAAGUCUUGAGUCUUGACUAGUUUAAUGUAGGCCCCAGCAAAAAGACAAUAGUUCCCCCAAGUACAAUGUGCAACAAUAAAGAUGCCUUUCAUCCAGUGCAAAAA